rnacentral:rRNA from 1 species
UCGAGCGAACGGACGAGAAGCUUGCUUCUCUGAUGUUAGCGGCGGACGGGUGAGUAACACGUGGAUAACCUACCUAUAAGACUGGGAUAACUUCGGGAAACCGGAGCUAAUACCGGAUAAUAUUUUGAACCGCAUGGUUCAAAAGUGAAAGACGGUCUUGCUGUCACUUAUAGAUGGAUCCGCGCUGCAUUAGCUAGUUGGUAAGGUAACGGCUUACCAAGGCAACGAUGCAUAGCCGACCUGAGAGGGUGAUCGGCCACACUGGAACUGAGACACGGUCCAGACUCCUACGGGAGGCAGCAGUAGGGAAUCUUCCGCAAUGGGCGAAAGCCUGACGGAGCAACGCCGCGUGAGUGAUGAAGGUCUUCGGAUCGUAAAACUCUGUUAUUAGGGAAGAACAUAUGUGUAAGUAACUGUGCACAUCUUGACGGUACCUAAUCAGAAAGCCACGGCUAACUACGUGCCAGCAGCCGCGGUAAUACGUAGGUGGCAAGCGUUAUCCGGAAUUAUUGGGCGUAAAGCGCGCGUAGGCGGUUUUUUAAGUCUGAUAUGAAAGCCCACGGCUCAACCGUGGAGGGUCAUUGGAAACUGGAAAACUUGAGUGCAGAAGAGGAAAGUGGAAUUCCAUGUGUAGCGGUGAAAUGCGCAGAGAUAUGGAGGUACACCAGUGGCGAAGGCGACUUUCUGGUCUGUAACU